UACGAAGGGGGCUAGCGUUGCUCGGAAUCACUGGGCGUAAAGCGCACGUAGGCGGGUUGCUAAGUCAGGGGUGAAAUCCUGGAGCUCAACUCCAGAACUGCCUUUGAUACUGAGGAGCUCGAGUCCGGGAGAGGUGAGUGGAACUGCGAGUGUAGAGGUGAAAUUCGUAGAUAUUCGCAAGAACACCAGUGGCGAAGGCGGCUCACUGGCCCGGUACUGACGCUGAGGUGCGAAAGCGUGGGGAGCAAACAGG
rnacentral:rRNA from 1 species